rnacentral:lncRNA from 1 species
UCCCUCUGUGUGACCGUCAGACACGCUGCGCUCCAUCUCCACCUCCACCUCGUUACAUGGAGCUGCAUGGCCGAAAGCAGAAAGAACACGGAUCUCUCUUUUUCUGUUGAACUAUAUGAGGGCAGCCAGGAUCUCAAGCUAAAUGAUGGACACACUUCAGAGGAAGAGACAGAGAUCUUGAACUGGACACCUGGGGACCGCCAACACCUGGGGACCGCAACCAUCUGGGGACCGCCAACACCUGGG